rfam:Arabidopsis thaliana chromosome 3, complete sequence.
UGAUGCGAUCAUACCAGCACUAAUGCACUUGAUCCUAUCAGAACACCGCAGUUAAGUGUGCUUGGGCGAGAGUAGUACUAGGAUGGGUGACCUCCAGGAAAGUCUUCGUGUUGCAUCCC